CUCCCCCCAUAACUCUUUUUUUGCCUUGUAUAACUUUCUCUGUUUCUGGGGGCUCGGCUUGAGACUGUAUCCACUCCCAAAUGACCAGAUGAAUUUCCUCUAUGGGCACCCUUCAUACGUGACUCUUGUUCAGUUUGUUUAGUGCCAUCAAUAGUUUCAACAGUUUCUUCUUCGACAGCAUAAACCAUAAGUCCAUACUGGCAAUAACCACAAGCCGUGGCCUGAAACCAUGAAAGAUCAACACGUAUCCCGUGGAUUCUCAAAGCAGGAUUGGCAUGAG
rnacentral:misc_RNA from 1 species